rnacentral:rRNA from 2 species
GCUGGCGGCAGGCCUAACACAUGCAAGUCGAACGAGAAGCUUUCCUUCGGGAAAGUGGAAAGUGGCAGACGGGUGAGUAACGCGUGGGAACGUGCCUUUCGGUCCGGAAUAACUCAGGGAAACUUGUGCUAAUACUGGAUACGCCCUUCGGGGGAAAGAUUUAUCGCCGAAAGAUCGGCCCGCGUCAGAUUAGCUUGUUGGUGGGGUAAUGGCUCACCAAGGCGACGAUCUGUAGCUGGUCUGAGAGGAUGAUCAGCCACACUGGGACUGAGACACGGCCCAGACUCCUACGGGAGGCAGCAGUGGGGAAUAUUGGACAAUGGGCGCAAGCCUGAUCCAGCCAUGCCGCGUGGGUGAAGAAGGCCCUAGGGUUGUAAACCCCUUUCA